AUUGGCAACAUACAAAUUGUAGAAUAGAGCAUCUAACCAACCCACCCUCUACGCCAAGACCCCAAUAGCUGAAUAAAGAAACAUUAGUAAUCUAAGCUGCCCCGCCCAUCUGAUUAACGAAAACCUCAAAAUUAAACCCAAACAUAUCUCCAUCCUGACCCCCCAUCUCUGCAUUCCGUCCCGCCAUCCCAUCCUGGUACCUCGUCUGACCUCCGCCUUCGUCACCUUGGGAAUGCUGGCCAGGCAUACCCAACCCCCCUCCCAUCCCCAUGCUCAUAUUUAUACCAAGUGCCAUGGACAUAUCCAUAUCAACUCCCACUUGUCCGUCGUAUUCCGGACUCACUGGAACAUUGGUUGAUGGAGAUGAGUUGGAUAUAUUCGGCCAUGUAUUCCUGUUUGUCCCAGCCCCGGGGCCGGCACCAGAACAAGAGAUGAGAUAGUUGGGAAUAUACCCAUUCAAGGGAUCUUCAGAUCCCCAGGAGGAGGAUGUCAUGAGUGGAUAAGAGCCGGCUGGGUAGGAGCUAGCCACCAAAGGAGUUGCUUGGUCCCCAGCGAAAGCAGGAACGCCGGCGUCAUACAAACCAUUGUCCACCAAUGUCGAUGCGGUCGCAAUCGAUCCUCCCGAAUUGGGUGAUGGAGUGCCGUCCGCGCCUCCCGCCAUUCCGAUCCCUACAGCAGCUCCCGUCCCAUUCGAGCUUGACGCCGACGGCCCUCUCAACGGAGCUUGCACCCGCCUCAGUUUGGCUGAUCCUACGAGGUGGCUCAAAUCAUCCUCCUCACCAGAACCGUCGCCAACAACCUUGUUCUUGGUGCGGGAUGCGGCAACGAGCGCUCCGUGUGCACGUUUACGGAGGCGUAUCAGGAUAGGUAGACCUUUUUUGGCACGACAUCCUUCCCUUGCAGCAGCGGAGAUGUCGCAAACAAUGGACAUGGCGUGGAAUGAAGGGCUGGCAAAAGCACAUUGAGGUGCUCGGAUGGCAAUAGCGGCGCUGUCACCUUGUGUCAGCCAAAGGUACGGAGCUUAAAAGAAUGACACUCACAGGCAAACAGCAGAUGAAAACGCAUGGAACCAGAAGAACCACCAUCUAGCGACCAAUGAUGGGUGGUAAAUUACUAGCGCUUUGACGAGAUGUACAAUCUCCUGUGCAUUCUCAAACAAUGCAACAAAGCUCGACCCGAAUUUGGAGUGUGAGGGGUCUCCAGGCGAAUCUUUCAGGGCGCGUGCGAAGAGGGGUCGAUUGAGUAAAAGCCGCAUUUGGGCGAUUUGAAGACGGAUGCCAAAGCGAUGGAUGACGAGGUGCGGGUGAACGUUGGGGUCAAGUGGGAGAUCAAUGAUGGCGACGUUUGGCAUAAGAAGCUCUGGAA
rnacentral:sRNA from 1 species